rnacentral:lncRNA from 1 species
UCUCGGAUUUGUUCCCGCAGAACCUCCGACGACUGUCCGAACUUUCGUCGAGCUCUCGAACUCCCAACGUGAUCAUUGUCAUGACUCCGGCGUAACUCCUGCUGCUGUUGAAUCUCGGAUUUUGAUGAUGUAAUCAAUUGGUGGGUUAAUUGAUCUAAUCCAUAUUAUUGAGUUAAGUGUGCAGGAUUAACUACGAUAACCAG